rnacentral:rRNA from 1 species
UACGUAGGGUGCAAGCGUUAAUCGGAAUUACUGGGCGUAAAGCGUGCGCAGGCGGUUUUGUAAGUCUGUCGUGAAAUCCCCGGGCUCAACCUGGGAAUUGCGAUGGAGACUGCAAGGCUAGAAUCUGGCGGAGGGGGGUAGAAUUCCACGUGUAGGCAGUGAAAUGCGUAGAGAUGUGGAGGAACACCGAUGGCGAAGGCAGCCCCCUGGGUCAAGAUUGACGCUCAUGCACGAAAGCGUGGGGAGCAAACAGG